rnacentral:tRNA from 1 species
GCUCGAGAGGCUCAGCGGUUGAGCGAAAUAUUGAAGCUAUUUAGGUCGUAAGUUCGAAUCUUACCUUGGGCA